rnacentral:rRNA from 1 species
AUGGCCCCGACCGUCAUCUCCCCAGCCACGGGCGCCGUCGCCUCGCCCAUCGCGAGCGACCUCGGGAAGGCCGCGCGCUCCGUCGGACUCGGGCUCCCCGCGCUGCCGCCGCUGCCCGGCCUCGCAUCCCACGGCCAGCCCCGCGUCGCGUCCUUUUGCAAAAGGCUCGCGAGGAACGUGGUGUCAAUGGCCGCCGGUGAGCCGGCCGCGCCGCUGGCCGACAACGCCGAGCUUACCGAGUUCUUCAACUCCUUGAAACAAGAGUGGGACAGGGUGGAGGACAAGUACGCGGUGACCACGCUCGCCGUCGCCGCCACGCUCGGCAUGUGGAGCGCCGGCGGAGUAGUAUCGGCAAUCGACAGGCUCCCCGUGGUUCCAGGUCUCAUGGAGGUCGUUGGCAUUGGCUACAGCGGGUGGUUUGCGUACAAGAACCUGCUAUUCAAGCCCGACAGGAAAGCGUUCUUCGCUAAGGUCAGGAACAUUUACGAGGAUAUAAUCAGCGGCUAG